GAUGAACGCUAGCGGCAGGCUUAACACAUGCAAGUCGAGGGGUAGAGUUCUUCGGGGCUUGAGACCGGCGCACGGGUGCGUAACGCGUAUGCAAUCUACCUUUUACAGAGGGAUAGCCCAGAGAAAUUUGGAUUAAUACCUCAUAGUAUAAUAGCUCGGCAUCGAGCAAUUAUUAAAGUCACAACGGUAAAAGAUGAGCAUGCGUCCCAUUAGCUAGUUGGUAAGGUAACGGCUUACCAAGGCUACGAUGGGUAGGGGUCCUGAGAGGGAGAUCCCCCACACUGGUACUGAGACACGGACCAGACUCCUACGGGAGGCAGCAGUGAGGAAUAUUGGACAAUGGGCGCAAGCCUGAUCCAGCCAUGCCGCGUGCAGGAUGACGGUC
rnacentral:rRNA from 1 species